UACGUAGGUGGCUAGCGUUGUCCGGAUUUACUGGGCGUAAAGAGCGCGCAGGCGGUCGUUCAAGUCGAGUGUGAAAGCCCUCGGCUCAACUGAGGAAGUGCACCCGAAACUGGCGAGCUUGAGUACGAAAGAGGAUCGCGGAAUUCCCGGUGUAGAGGUGAAAUUCGUAGAUAUCGGGAGGAACACCGGUGGCGAAGGCGGCCUGCUGGGACAAUGCUGACGCUGAGGCGCGACAGCGUGGGGAGCAAACAGG
rnacentral:rRNA from 1 species